GUUUUGCUUUAAAUUUGAGCACAUGCGUCACUUUGAGUAUAAAAAAGGAGCCAUUUCACUGGGUGUGGGAUGUGAGGGCAGCUCUGAGCGAGCGCCUAUUCACUAAUGAUCCUUCCGCAGGUUCCGAUGACCGCGCACGCUCUCGCAGUGCGCACUGACUAUACCUCAAACAGCGACUGGCGCUGCCCACUUUCAUCUAGUCGAUGAACCCUAUUGCAGGGCUGCGGAUUGACCCGCGUCUGGCGAAGAUUCACCAGACACACAGGGCGUUCCCCGCAGUUUGACAGUGUUGCCUCUCUCGAGACUAGCCUUGCGGCUGUUGCAGGCAAACCUUGCUACCUACGGAAA
rnacentral:misc_RNA from 1 species